UUACACACUAUGAGUAGAACCGUGCUCACAGCAGCUAACUUAACUACUUUGUUGUUUAACUUCAUUGUCUAUAAUCUGCCCGCAGCGUGCAGCCGGGCGCAGCUAAAUGACACGUAAUGUAUUGUGCGUCUUCAAUGCUUUUCAAUAUGUUAUAUAUUUAUUGCCUUCACAAUGAGCAUGAAUCUAACAUUAAAUGAUAUGAUUAAUAUGCCCCUCAUUCCAAAGAAAUAAUAUACACACGUCAAGCUCAUUAUGGAGUUGAAACAACAAAUUACUAAACUGUAAACAGUUAAUAUAAGAGAAAAAAAUAUUGUAAUCAAGAUAAAUGUUUUCAAAACGUGUGAUUAACUAGUCAAUUGUCUAUAAUCUGUUGACAGCCAUAAUCGUAUUCUGAUAAUACACGUUGGUGCUCAAAUAUUUUCAGAUGGCCCGUGCAAAGUCAUGCCACCAUCAAUUCAAUUCAAUUCAUUUUAUUUUGUAUAGGCCAAAAUCGCAAAUUACACAUUUGCCUCAGAGGGCUUUACAGUCUGUACACAUGCAAUGGGAAUGGCACAUUGGACACGUGGCUUUCAACUCCAGCGAGGUGGCGGCACGGAUCUCUGCAUGUCUGACUGACAUCUCCCAGUGGAUGUCCGCCCAUCACCUGAAGAUCAACCCCGACAAGACUGAACUACUUUUCUUCCCUGGAAAAAACUCGCCCACUCAGGACCUGACCGUUAACUUUGGCGAACACCGUUAACAUCAGGAGAAUACCACCCCUUCUCACUCAGAAGGCGGCGCAGGUACUGAUUCAGGCUCUUGUCAUCUCUCGCCUCGACUACUGUAACUCUCUGCUGGCAGGUCUCCCUGCUACCGCCAUUCGACCACUGCAGCUCAUCCAGAAUGCAGCAGCUCGACUGGUCUUCAACCUUCUGAAAUACUCCCACACCACACCGCUUCUCCCUUCACUUCAUUGGUUACCAGUGGCUGCCCGCAUCCAGUUCAAAGCAUUGGUACUGACGGACCACGCUGUGAAUGGAUGGGGUCCAGUCUACAUCCGGGACAUGGUGAAACCCUGCAUCCCAACCCACGCACUCCGAUCUGCAUCUGGCAAGCUGCUUGUUCCUCCCUCACUGAGAGAAAAGCACUCGACGAGAUGGCGACUCUUUGCUGUCCUGCUCCCAGAUGGUGGAAUGAGCUCUCUGAUGACAUCAGGACCGCAGAGAGCCUCUCCAUCUUCCGUCGAAAACUCAAGACACACCUUUUUAGACUCUACCUCGACUAAAACACUAGCAAACCGUAGCACUAACAAAUGGUAGCACUUAAAUUGUACUUAUAAUGCCACUUAUCUUUAACAUGUUUUGGGCGGUGAUUUAUUCAGUCAUGUUUAGUCAUAUUUUGUUUUUUUUACUUGUCAAUAUGGUUUGGUACAUGCCGAGUUAAUCAAUACACAUUCUAAAGUGCAACGUCCAUAUGUGAAUAAGAGUUGUAUACGUUUAUCAUAGUCAAUAUGGUAUGGAAAUAUCCCUUAUGUAGUUGGUCAAUAGGAACUAUAGUAGGCAGAAAUAACAGCUAAGGUAAUUACAGGUGGAUAUUUCUGGGAAUUAACCUUGAUUGAGACUGCAUCUAUGAUAUCUAAGAUAUACAGGACAAGAAAAAUGCACUGGAUGUGUAUAUGUGUUGAAUCAAUUAUACAGACGCAAACCGGAGAA